CCACUUCAACAUAUUAUCUGUUGUCCACUUUGGAAACUCUCCGUAAAGCGCAGCACAGAUGCCAUUACAGACUAAAUCAAUGGUUACUCGCACAUGUUGUUUGCUGAUCCGGUAGUUUGAGGCGACGUAAGCUUCCAGACAACCAUUGCGAACUUUGCUUUAUGUGGAAUGGCAUCUGGACGUGUGUUGUUCUUCGACACCAAAUACGGCUCCACCAAACUGAACAAGUAGUUAAAGCUUAGUUCGGUCAUGUGGAAAUUUUCAAAAACGCGAUGAUUGCUUUUUCAACUCUUUUUCCAAUAUUGGGUGAACCCGUAUUUGCGUGAAAGACCCGGCAAGGGACGUUUUUCAAACGCUGUAGCUUAAAAUAUACAUACGCGUAUAUACUAUUUAUAUUUAAAAAAAAAACUCGUUUGUUUUGUAGUUCGAAAACAUGUCCAAAACACCAAAAGUGUUUUUUGAAACUACGAACUACGCUUUAAUGGUCGCUACGGAGAUUACCCUAAACACAUUAGAAAUAACAUUAAAGAUAAUGUUAAUUCUCCAAGUGAAUCUGUUGCUUGGCAGGAAGAAAAAGCUGGCAUAAAGUCAAAAUCAAAUUUGUAAUAAAAAUUAAUUUACAUUUA